rnacentral:tRNA from 1 species
GGAGAGGUGGCAGAGUGGUCGAUCGCGGCGGUCUUGAAAACCGUUGACUGUUAAAGGUCCGGGGGUUCGAAUCCCUCCCUCUCCGCAA